rnacentral:tRNA from 1 species
GGAUUGUGGCUCAGGGGUACAGCGCUCGCCUCACUCGUCUGAGGCCCUGGGUUCGAUCCUUAGCACCA